GACGAACGCUGGCGGCGUGCUUAACACAUGCAAGUCGAACGGAAAGGCCCUGCUGUUGUGGGGUGCUCGAGUGGCGAACGGGUGAGUAACAAGUGAGUAACCUGCCCUUGACUUUGGGAUAACUUCAGGAAACUGGGGCUAAUACCGGAUAGGAGCUCCUGCUGCAUUGUGGGGGUUGGAAAGUUUCGGCGGUUGGGGAUGGACUCGCGGCUUAUCAGCUUGUUGGUGGGGUAGUGGCUUACCAAGGCUUUGACGGGUAGCCGGCCUGAGAGGGUGACCGGCCACAUUGGGACUGAGAUACGGCCCAGACUCCUACGGGAGGCAGCAGUGGGGAAUAUUGCACAAUGGGCGGAAGCCUGAUGCAGCAACGCCGCGUGCGGGAUGACGGCCUUCGGGUUGUAAACCGCUUUCGCCUGUGACGAAGCGUGAGUGACGGUAAUGGGUAAAGAAGCACCGGCUAACUACGUG
rnacentral:rRNA from 1 species